UUUAUUCUUUUUUUUUUUUUUUAGGGCUGCACCUGCAGCUUAUGGAGGUUCCCAGGCUAGGGGUCAAAUCAGAGCUGUAGCUGCUGGCCUACACCACAGCCCCAGCAGUGUGGAAUCCAGGCCACAUCUGUGACACAUACCACAGCUCACAGCAACAUUGGAUUCUUAACCCACUAAGUGAGGCCAGGAAUUGAACCCAGGUCUUCAUGGAUACUAGUUGGAUUUGUUACCACUGAGUCAUGAUGGCAACUCCCUAUAAUUAAUUUUUUUAUGAGGUUGCGGUACCAUUUUAAUUUCUUUUCUUCCUUAAUGCUUGGCCAGAAUAAUGUCUAUGUAAUUAGGUAAAACAUUCUUCACGCUGUCGAAUUGAGAUACUAUUACCUAGAUGAAUUUUGGUUACUCUGGGUUUUUUUCCUUUUUUCUUGAUCUAUUUAUCUGUACUUAAUGUAGCUUUUUAUUGACUGAUUUCCCAAACUUUUUAUUAUGAAAAAUUUUGAGCAUAUAGCAAAGUUGGCAUAUAGUGAAUGCUCAUCACCAGAUUUAAUAAGUAGCAUUUUGCCAUAUUUUUUCUAACUAUCUCCAUAUGUAUAUUCCCAUAAAUAUUCUUUUUUUUCAAAUCUCAGGAAUUAGACAAUAGAUCGUGGACAUCAUGAUGUUUCAUCUGUAAAUAUUUAUUACUUUUUAAUUUUUUUAUUACUUUUUUAUUCUUUUGCUUUUUUUUUUUUUUUAGGGCCCUUGGCAUAUGGAGAUUCCUAGGCUAGGGGUCCAAUCAGAGCUGUAGCCGCCAGCCUACGCCAGAGCCACAGCAACACAGGAUCCGAGCCGUGUCUGUGACCUACGCCACAGCUCAUGGCAAAGCCAGAUCUUUGACCCACUGAGCGAGGCCAGGGAUUGAACCUGAAACCUCAUGGUUCCUAGUCGGAUUUGUUUCUGCUGUGCAAAGACUGGAACUCCAGCCAUAAAUAUUUAAUAUGCUCAUUCUAGGACUUAAAGGUAUGCUCCAUUAUAACCAUAAUACCAUUAUCAUAUGCAUGGAAAUUCCAUAGUAUUAUGUAUAAAACAAUCCCCUUAGCAAUCUUUAUACCAUGGCAAUGACUUCUUGGAAUCUAGGCCAGUUAUCUUUUACAAUUGCUCCAUGUUCUGGAUUUGUCUGAUUCCUUUGUGGUGUGAUUUACUUGUUCCUUAAAGCCUUUUUGUUUUCCAUAAAUUUAUUAUUUUAAACUGUAUGCCUCCUUUUAAGUGUUUCCAUUCUAUAUUCCAAUUUAUGCAAAUGUUCUAAGAAUAUUUUUUGAUAAAUAAUUCUGUGGGGCUAGAAAGAAAAAUGUACUGUUUCUUAGUUCAAGAAUGCCCUCUUCUGUUGGCAUAGUGAAGUGCAGCCUCUUUUCUAAAGGAUGUGUGGGCAUGGAGGUUUCUCCUUCUGAUUCUGUGAUACCAGUUUGUUUCAGCAUAAACUUUAUUUUCUCUUUCUUCUUUUCCUUUAUCCAUCAAGCUUAGAGUGGAUACCUCCCCCUUCUAAGGGCUACUUACCUUAGAUGUCUGUGUUCCUCCCCUAUCAGUAUUUUCUUUUUCCAUGUAAAUUCCUCUAAUUUUUCUCUCCAGUGAGGACUUGAUCAUUGACAUUGCUGGCCUUAGAUGUUUGUUUUUGCCUAUUUACUUGUAAAUUGAAGUUUGAAAUGUUAUUUGUCUCUUACUCAUAUUACUAGUAUGUCCAUUGGGUAGUUUAUUUAUUUUUCUUUUGGUCUCUGGAUUUUAGAAUAUUUAGUAGAAAUUUGAUUUAAAUUUGGAUGACUAUCAUUUUCCCAAAGGAAUCUGAAUAUCUACUGUAAGUUUUGUAAUUUGGUAAGGAAAUGACCUUUUUUAAAAAACUAGAUAAUCCAUUAUAUCAGCAUUUUGUUGAAUUUUAGGACAUUGUUACUGAAUUACUUUCUCAUUGAUCUGAAUCAUUUCUUGGUCAUGUAUCAAAUUUUUAUACAUCUGCGGGUCUAUUUUUGAAGUUUGUAUGUUGUGUAUUUGCUUAGUUGGUCUGUCCCUGCACUAAAACCUGUCAUCCUUGUCUUAGGUUUGUAAGUCGUGAUUUUUGGUAAGGCAAAUACUUCUUCCCUUUACUUAUAAGGAUUAUCUCAACAGUUUUUGACCUUGCACUCUUUCAAAUUUUUGGAAAUCAGCUUAAGAAAUCCUCUUGGAGGCUUGAUUAUUAGGCAGUACUUUGGGAAGACUGGACAUCUUAAGAUAUUAAGUCUUCCUGUACAUGAACACAGACUAUUUAUUUUAGUAUUCUUUAAUGUCUCAUUAAAAUUUUUUCUUUUUUUUUCUCAAAAAUUUUCACUUUUUUUGUUUUGUUUUUGGUUGGUUGGUUUAUUUCUAUAUACCCAAAAUAUUUUUAUGUUAAAAAUAUUGUCUUUUUUAAAUUAUAAAACUUUAUUGAAAAAUUUUAGAAGGUAUAAAUAAAUAGACAUAUUUCUGCUUAGAAAAACAAUAUUACAAAGAUGUAAGUUCUCUCCAAAUUCAUCUAUAGAGUCAACACAUUUUCUUUCUUUUUUUUAAUAUGGCCACACCCCAUGGCAUCUGAAAGUUCCUGGGCUAGGGGUUGAAUCAGAGCUACAGCUGAGGCCUACACCACAGCUCACAGCAAUGUCAGAUCCUUAAACCAAUGAGCGAGGCCAGGUAUCUGACCCGUGUCCUCAUCAAUAUUAGGUUCAUUACUGCUGAACCAUGACAGGAACUCCGUCUUUAUUAUUAUUAUUAUUGAGGUAUAGUUGUCACAUAAUGUUCUGUUAGUUUCCGUUGUACAACAUCAUGAUUCGAUGUUUGUGUAUAUUGCAAAAUGAUCACCACAGAUAAGUCUAGCUAACAUCCAUCACUAUGCAUAAUUACAGAAUCUUAUCUUGAGAACUUUUGAGAUUUACUGUCUUAGCAACUUUCAAAUAUGCAAUACAGUAUUAUUAACUACAGUCCCCAUGCUGUACAUUAGACCCCAGGACUUAUUUAUUUUAUAACUGGAAGUUUGUACCUUUUGAUUCCCUUUACACAUUUCAUCCACCCCUUGCCUCUGGUAUCCACCAGUCUGUUCUCUGUAUCUGUGCAUUUAUUUGUUUUUUAGCUUUCACACAUAAGUGAGAUCACACUGUAUUUAUUUGUCUUUCUCAGAUUUAUUUCACUCAGCAUAAUGCCCUCAAGUUUCCUCAACAGUAUUUUUUUAAUUUUAAAUUUCUAACUUUGUUGCACUGGUGUGUAGUAAUGAAAUUAAUUUAUUUUACUUUGAUUUUAUAGCAAGUUACCUGGCUAAAGUUUAAUUUUUUAAUGAUUUUACUAUAUGUUAUUUUGGGUUUUCUAUCUAUACCAGGAUUUGGCAAAUUACAGUCAGUAGUCCAAAUAGGUCCCUGUUAUUUGGUUUUACAAAUAAGGUUUUGGGAGUUCCCUUCGUGGCUCAGCCAUUAAUGAUCCCAGCUAGGAUCCAUGAGCAUACAGGUUCAAUCCCUGGCCUCACUCAGUGGGUUAAUGAUCUGGAGUUGCUAUGAACUAUGGUGUAGGUCACAGAUGUGGCUUGGAUCCUGCAUUGCUAUGGCUGUGGGGUAGGCUGGCAGCUGGUAGCUCCAAUUCAACCACUAGCCUGAGAACUCUCUGCCACGGGUAUGGCCCUAAAAAGCAAAAAAAAAAA
rnacentral:lncRNA from 1 species